GAUGAACGCUAGCUACAGGCUUAACACAUGCAAGUCGAGGGGCAGCAUGGUCUUAGCUUGCUAAGGCUGAUGGCGACCGGCGCACGGGUGAGUAACACGUAUCCAACCUGCCGUCUACUCUUGGCCAGCCUUCUGAAAGGAAGAUUAAUCCAGGAUGGCAUCAUGAGUUCACAUGUCCGCAUGAUUAAAGGUAUUUUCCGGUAGACGAUGGGGAUGCGUUCCAUUAGAUAGUAGGCGGGGUAACGGCCCACCUAGUCAACGAUGGAUAGGGGUUCUGAGAGGAAGGUCCCCCACAUUGGAACUGAGACACGGUCCAAACUCCUACGGGAGGCAGCAGUGAGGAAUAUUGGUCAAUGGGCGAUGGCCUGAACCAGCCAAGUAGCGUGAAGGAUGACUGCCCUAUGGGUUGUAAACUUCUUUUAUAAAGGAAUAAAGUCGGGUAUGCAUACCCGUUUGCAUGUACUUUAUGAAUAAGGAUCGGCUAACUCCGUGCCAGCAGCCGCGGUAAUACGGAGGAUCCGAGCGUUAUCCGGAUUUAUUGGGUUUAAAGGGAGCGUAGAUGGAUGUUUAAGUCAGUUGUGAAAGUUUGCGGCUCAACCGUAAAAUUGCAGUUGAUACUGGAUGUCUUGAGUGCAGUUGAGGCAGGCGGAAUUCGUGGUGUAGCGGUGAAAUGCUUAGAUAUCACGAAGACUCCGAUUGCGAAGGCAGCCUGCUAAGCUGCAACUGACAUUGAGG
rnacentral:rRNA from 1 species